rnacentral:rRNA from 1 species
UACCUGGUUGAUCCUGCCAGUAGCAUAUGCUUGUCUCAAAGAUUAAGCCAUGCAUGUCUAAGUACAACCCGCUUGACGGGGAAACCGCGAAUGGCUCAAUAAAUCAGUUAUGGUUCCUUAGAUCCACCCAUCCUACUUGGAUAACUGUGGCAAUUCUAGAGCUAAUACAUGCACUCAAGCCCCGACUGCGGGAUUCGCGUCUCGCAGGAGGGGUGCUUUUAUUAGAUCAAAACCAGUCGGGGGGCGUCAAAACCCCCCGUUCCGUUUGGUGACUCUGGAUAACUUCUCGCGGAUCGCACGGUCUCGCACCGGCGACGCGUCUUUCAAAUGUCUGCCUUAUCAACUGUCGAUGGUAGGUUAUGCGCCUACCAUGGUUGCAACGGGUAACGGGGAAUCGGGGUUCGAUUCCGGAGAGGGAGCCUGAGAAACGGCUACCACAUCCAAGGAAGGCAGCAGGCGCGCAAAUUACCCACUCCCGGCACGGGGAGGUAGUGACGAAAAAUAACGAUACGGGACUCUUCCGAGGCCCCGUGAUUGGAAUGAGUACACUUUAAAUCCUUUAACGAGGACCCAUUGGAGGGCAAGUCUGGUGCCAGCAGCCGCGGUAACUCCAGCUCCAAUAGCGUAUAUUAAAGUUGUUGCGGUUAAGAAGCUCGUAGUCGGAUGUCUGUCUUCGGCCGGGCGUCGCGCGCUCUGAAUCAAGGGUGCGCGAUAUCGCUCUGUGGUCCGCGGUGUCAAAGCCCGGACUGCUUAACGGUCGGACAACACCGCCGGAGUGGUGACGUCGAACCCCCGUUGCGGGUUUUCGGAUCCGUUUUCGGGGGACCUCGGCCCACCCGUAAUCGUGCGGGGUGCCUUUAACCGGGUGUCCCGCACGGCCGGCAAUGUUUACUUUGAACAAAUUAGAGUGCUCAAAGCAGGUGCAUUUUCGCCUGAAUAUGACAGCAUGGAAUGAUGAAAGAGGACCUCGGUCUUAUUUUGCUGGUCUUUUCUUUAGACCCGAGGUAAUGAUCAAUAGAGACGGACGGGGGCAUCCGUACUGCGGCGACAGAGGUGAAAUUCUUGGACCGCCGCAAGACGAACAACAGCGAAGGCAUUUGCCAAGAAUGUUUUCCUUGAUCAAGAACGAAAGUUAGAGGUUCGAAGGCGAUCAGAUACCGCCCUAGUUCUAACCAUAAACGAUGCCAACCAGCGAUCCGCCGGUGUUACUCCCAUGACUCGGCGGGCGGCUUCCGGGAAACCAAAGUCUUUGGGUUCCGGGGGAAGUAUGGUUGCAAAGCUGAAACUUAAAGGAAUUGACGGAAGGGCACCACCAGGAGUGGAGCCUGCGGCUUAAUUUGACUCAACACGGGAAACCUCACCAGGCCCGGACACUGGAAGGAUUGACAGAUUGAGAGCUCUUUCUUGAUUCGGUGGGUGUUGGUGCAUGCCCGUUCUUAGUUGGUGGAGCGAUUUGUCUGGUUAAUUCCGAUAACGAACGAGACUCUAGCCUGCUAAAUAGGUGGCGGGUUUUUAAUUGAAAUUGAGGGGGUCGGGGACGGCGGGAUCAGGGCUUGGCGCGGUGGCGUGCGUUUUUCGGCCCGGCGGGGCGGGCGACCUUCGCUCUCGGGUGGAGGGAGUUCGUUCCGUCGUCGUCGGGGCGCGCGUCGCCGUGUCGGGUUCCCCGCUGCGUUCCGGCUCUCGCGUCCGUCACAGCUCUUCUUAGAGGGACAAGCGGCGUCCAGCCGCGUGACAGUGAGCAAUAACAGGUCUGUGAUGCCCUUAGAUGUCCUGGGCCGCACGCGCGCUACACUGAAGGAAUCAGCGUGUUUCACUUCCCCUGUCCGAAAGGACCGGGUAACCGCUGAACCUCCUUCGUGGUUGGGAUUGGGGACUGCAAUGAUCCCCAUGAACCAGGAAUCCCUAGUAGGCGCGGGUCACUAGCCCGCGUCGAUUACGUCCCUGCCCUUUGUACACACCGCCCGUCGCUACUACCGAUUGAAUGAUUUAGUGAGGACUUCGGACGGGCCCGUCGGGGUUUGGUGUUCGGGGGGCAACUCUCGGGCACCGUUCCUAUUCACGGCGGGACUGAAAGAUGUUCGAACUUGAUCCUUUAGAGGAAGUAAAAGUCGUAACAAGGUUUCCGUAGGUGAACCUGCAGAUGGAUCAUUA